rnacentral:rRNA from 1 species
CACAUGCAAGUCGAACGGUAGCACAGAGAGCUUGCUCUCGGGUGACGAGUGGCGGACGGGUGAGUAAUGUCUGGGAAACUGCCUGAUGGAGGGGGAUAACUACUGGAAACGGUGGCUAAUACCGCAUAACGUCGCAAGACCAAAGAGGGGGACCUUCGGGCCUCUUGCCAUCAGAUGUGCCCAGAUGGGAUUAGCUUGUUGGUGAGGUAACGGCUCA